UGUGCCACAAUAGUAAUUCCACUUAGUACGAGAGGAACUGUUGAUUCGCACAAUUGGUAAUUGCGCUUGGUUGAAAAGCUAGUGGCGCGAAGCUACCAUGCGUGGGAUUAUGACUGAACGCCUCUAAGUCAGAAUCCGUGCUAGAUGUGGUGCUCUCUACCUCCUCAGCUGUUACCUGAUUAAGGUUAGGGGGGCCCCGUGCUCCCCCGAGAACACAUGAUGCAACCGCCAUCCCCCGGGGCCGAUGCUGCCCCGGGGGCGCGGCUUGGAAAUCCAAUUUCGAACGGUCGAGGAGAUAAAUCCUUUGCAGAUGACUUAAAUAGGGGAUGGGGUACUGUAAGUGGCAGAGUAGCCUUGCUGCUACGAUCUGCUGAGGUUCAUCCCUCUGUCCCACUGAUUU
rnacentral:rRNA from 1 species